rnacentral:rRNA from 1 species
UACGAAGGGUGCAAACGUUGCUCGGAAUUAUUGGGCGUAAAGCGCACGUAGGCGGUAUGGAAAGUCGGAUGUGAAAUCCCUCAGCUCAACUGAGGAAGUGCAUCCGAAACCUCCGUACUUGAGUACUUAAGAGGAUCGCGGAAUUCCCGGUGUAGAGGUGAAAUUCGUAGAUAUCGGGAGGAACACCAGUGGCGAAGGCGGCGAUCUGGGGAAGAUACUGACGCUGAGGUGCGAAAGCGUGGGGAGCAAACAGG